ensembl:lncRNA
UACUUUUCAUAAUAAAACAUACUUGAAACAAGAAAAGCUUGAUAAUUGUGAAAACAGUUUGUUUAUUGAUUUUACGUUUCCUCUGUCAGGUUGAUGUUAACCUGCGACUGGUUGAAACAUGAAACAAAUAUGAAAUGAAAUACAAUUAAAUAUGUGGAAUAGAAUUAAACAAAUUGUACAACAGAGUGUUGUGAUGCAGGGUCACUAUAGCAACAGAGUGUUGUAAUGCAGGAUCACUAUAGCAACAGAGUGUUGUAAUGCAGGGUUACUAUAGCAACAGAGUGUUGUGAUGCAGGGUCACUCUAGCAACAGAGUGUUGUGAUGCUCUCUGUCUCUCUGCUCUCUCUCUCUCUCUCUCUCUAGCAACUGCCUGUUCUCUGCUCUCUCUCUCUCUCAGAGUCUCUCUGCUCUGCUCUCUGCUCUCUCUCUCUCUCUCUCUCUCUCUCUCUCUCUGCUCUGCUCUCUCUCUCUCUCUGCUCUCUGCUCUCUCUCUCUCUGCUCUCUCUCUCUCUCUCCUCUCUGCUCUCUGCUCUCUCUCUCUCUCUGCUUUCUCAGCCUGCUCUCUCUCUCUCUCUCUCUCUCUGCCCUCUCUGCUCUCUCUCUCUCUCUGCUCUCUCUCUCUCUCUCUCUGCUCUCUUUCUGCUCUCGUUAUCUGCUCUUACUCUCUCUGCCCUCUCUGCUCUCUCACUCCCUCUGCUCUCUCUAAUUUCUCUCUGCUCUCUGCUCUCUUCUCUCUCUCUCUCUCUCUCUCCCUCUGCUCUCUCUGCUCUCUCCGCUCUCUCUGCUCUCUCUCUCUCUCUCUCUCUCUCUCUCUCUCUGCUCUCUCUGCUCUCUCUGCUCUCUCUCUCUCUCUGCUCUCUCUCUCUCUCUCUCUCUCUCUCUCUCUCUGCUCUCUCUCUCUCUGCUCUCUCUCUGCUCUGCUCUCUCUCUGCUCUCUCUCUCUCUCUCUCUCUCUCUCUCUCUCUCUCUCUCUCUGCUCUCUGCUCUCUCUCUCUCUCUCUCUCUCUCUCUCUCUCUCUCUCUCUCUCUCUCUCUCUCUGCUCUCUGCUCUCUCUCUCUCUCUCUCUCUCUCUGCUCUGCUCUGCUCUCUGCUCUCUCUCUGCUCCCUCUCUCUCUGCCCUCUCUGUUCUCUGCUCUCUCUGCCCUCUCUGCUCUCUCUCUGCUCUCUCUUCUCUCUGUUCUAUGCUCUCUCACUCCCUCUGCUCUCUCUGCUUUCUCUCUGCUCUCUCUGCUCUGCUGCUCUCUUUUCUCAGCUCUCUCUGCUCUCGUGACAUUAAUUGUGAAAACAGUUUCUUUAUUGAUUUUACGUUUCCUCUGUCAGGUUGAUGUUAACCUGCUACUGGUUGAAACAUGAAACAAAUAUGAAAUGACAUACAAAACAUUUAAAUAUGUGAAAUUGAAUCAACAAUUUGUACAACAAGAGUUUUGUGAUGCAUGGUCACUAUAGCAACAGAGUGCUGUGAUCUCAUCUGCAGACCAGAGGACUGUCUUCUAGGAGAGGAACCCUGUGAC